CCUACGGGAGGCAGCAGUAAGGAAUAUUGGUCAAUGGACGAAAGUCUGAACCAGCCAUGCCGCGUGAAGGAUUAAGGCCCUCUGGGUUGUAAACUUCUUUUAUCUGGGACGAAAAAAGGGUAUUCUUACUCACUUGACGGUACCAGAGGAAUAAGCACCGGCUAACUCCGUGCCAGCAGCCGCGGUAAUACGGAGGGUGCAAGCGUUAUCCGGAUUUACUGGGUUUAAAGGGUGCGUAGGUGGGCUUGUAAGUCAGUGGUGAAAUCUCCGGGCUUAACCCGGAAACUGCCAUUGAUACUAUAGGUCUUGAAUUAUCUGGAGGUAAGCGGAAUAUGUCAUGUAGCGGUGAAAUGCUUAGAUAUGACAUAGAACACCAAUUGCGAAGGCAGCUUACUACGGAUAUAUUGACACUGAGGUACGAAAGCGUGGGGAUCAAACAGGAUUAGAUACCCUGGUAGUCCACGCCCUAAACGAUGGAUACUCGACAUCAGCGAUACACUGUUGGUGUCUGAGCGAAAGCAUUAAGUAUCCCACCUGGGAAAUACGAUCGCAAGAUUGAAACUCAAAGGAAUUAGACGG
rnacentral:rRNA from 1 species